CCUCCGCCAGCCGCGCGCGCAGCCCCGCCACGCUGCAGCUGGAGCGACCGCGGCCGGCCACGCAGAUUGGGGGAGGGGCAGGCGGAGGCGGAGGAGAGGGCGGGAGGCGCGGGGAGGGGGCCGGAGCGAGGAGGAGGAGGAAAUAAAUAAAUAAAACAAUAACCUCCGCGCCAAUAAGAGCGAGGGAGAGAGAGAGACGCGGCCAGAGAGCCGCCGGUGCCUGUUCGCUCGCCUCUGAGAGGUCCUCCGCGCGCGCGCAUGUGUGUGCGUGCGUGUGUAUUUGCUGGGACUGGAGCUGGAAAGUUCAAACUAAACGUGUUGCUCUCGCCGGCUGCCGAGGCCGCGGACCGGGCUGCCCAACUUCUCUGGGCCAAGUGACUGGCGUUGCCCGGCGUUGCCCGGCGUUGCCCGGCGCCCUUGGCGCGGCGGCGGCCGCUCGGCCCUGCGCCCAGGCGCGGCGGCGGCGGCGGCGGCGGCGGCUGCGCUCGCCCCGGGAGGGAGCCCGCGGCCAGGGCUGGACCCGCGCCCCGCCAGCUCCAGCGACGCUCUCUGCUCAGCCUCCGCGCCUGGCGCCCGCGGAAAGACUUGAAUGCAGUGAUCAUGUAAAUUAGAGAAAGGAGACAAAAGUAACUUCUGAAAUAUUCUUCUCAUGUGAUAUUUAUUCUGGAUGAAGCACUAAGAUCGCUCAUAGAGGUGUAUCACUGUGAGUAUUUUCUAAUGGAAUUAGAAUGUUAUUUUUUGUGUGUUUCAAUAAUGUCAUAUGUGCUACACUUUAACAUAAUUUAAGAAUAACAUAUAUAGAUUAACAAAACACAGUAACAUAUAGUGUAGGAGCAGUAAUAGGCAGAAUACUGCAAAACUCCCGAAAUACUUGCUGAUAAGAGAAAAGCUCUUCAUCUCUAUAUAUAAAUAAAUAAAUGUUUGGGGUAAACCA
rnacentral:lncRNA from 1 species